rnacentral:tRNA from 1 species
GGGCCGUUAGCUCAGAUGGUAGAGCAGCUGACUCUUAAUCAGCGGGUCGUAGGUUCGAGUCCUACACGGCCCACCA